rnacentral:lncRNA from 10 species
AGAAAGCUCCUUUCAUUGGUGUGUUCAGAGAGCCCUUGAUUAUGAAGACUCAGUACCCUGCUUGGAAAACAAUCUGAAUGAAUGUGUUUCAGUGUGGGAGAUGGGGAAGUCACGCAGGGACAGUCUGGGAAGGCAGGAGGGAGGCUGGUAUUUACCUUCCUGCCCUCUGGAAGGGUGGUGGCCUUGCAGAUCCCAGUCCCAGCCUUUCUUUCGCUCAGUUUCCCUGGGUGGAAACUGGGCUUGUGAAAAUGAUGGUGGUAAGGUCUCCGCGCGUCCCUGGUAACACCUAACCAGGAGCCUCUCUCUGCUGGAGGCUUCAUGAGAGCAACUUCUCCCUUCAUCCUGCCAGCUGAGGUGAUGACAGCAAACCACCACCGCCACAAGCCUCAUGCCAUCCCAGCCUGGAAUUCUCUCCCCGGCGCAGACGGUGCCCCUGCAGAGAUGAGGCCAUGAGGCCCUCGGAUCUACUUCCCCAUCCCAUUGUUUGUUCUUCCACUUUGCUAUACAAAGACAAACUUCUGACCAGGUGCGGUGGUUCACGCCUGUAAUCCCAGCACUUUGGGCGGCCGAGGUGGGCAGAUCACGUGAGGUCAAGAGUUCGAGACCAGCCUGAACAACAUGGUGAAACCCUGUCUCUACUAAAAAUACAAAAUUAGCCGGGUGUAGUGGUGCAUGCCUGUAAUUCCAGCUGCACGGGAAGCUGAGGCAGGAGAAUCGCUUGAACCUGGGAGGUGGAGGUUGCAGUGAGCCGAGAUAGUGCUUCCAUACUCCAACCUGGGCGACAGAGAGAGACUCCAUCUCAAAAAGAAAAAAAAAAAGACAAACUUCUCAGUCCUCCUUAAUCCUAGAAUAGUGCAUUGCCUAAGGGAUGCUAAAAACCUUCUAAGGGCAUUUAAGGGACAAUUUGAAAUACCGGUGUAUGCGCAGCCUCCCUUAAGCAGAGUACCCUAUGGUGGGCAGCAGGAGAGCGUUCUGUCUUUUCCUCACGUGUGGAUAUUCUGUUAAGUGUGAAAUCCAGCUUUAGAAUUGGGAUAUUUUGACCCACAUUGGGUUAUUCUGAAUUCAGACGGCGAGAGUGAUGACAAUUUUAAUUUUAUGACUUGACCUCUUCCAAAGGCUGGCUCUUGACUCAGAUGUGUUGCUGCCAAGGGAGAGCCUGAAAGACCGAAGCGAAGGCAGAAUGACAAGAAACCGUGGAGUCUGCAGCAACCACUUCAAACAGGAGACAGGCUCAUGGCCGAGGCUCCCUUCCUUAUCCAUGUAUCCAUGUUAGAAUUAGAAUUCAGAUGCUGUUAGAAUUCUCAAGAAGGUGUAUAAUAAGUUAUCUUGGGCUGGACACUGUGGUUCAUGCCUGAAAUCCCAACACUUUGGGAGGCUGAGGCAAGAGGAUCACUUGAACCCAGGAGUUUGGGACCAGCCUGGGCAACAUAGUGAGACCCUGUCUCCACAAAAAAUGCAAAAGUAGUCAAGCAUGGUGGUGCACACCUGUAGUCCCAGCUACUCGGGAGGCUGAGGUGGGAGAAUUGCUUGAGCCUAAGAGAUAGAGGUUGCAGUGAGCUGAGACGAAGCCACUGCACUCAACCUGGGCGACAGAGGAGACCUUGCCUCAAAUAAUAAUAAAGUUAUUUUGAAUUGAAAAUAAAGUUAGACUCUUG